GACGAACGCUGGCGGCGUGCCUAAUACAUGCAAGUCGAGCGGACCUCUUCGGAGGUCAGCGGCGGACGGGUGAGUAACACGUGGGCAACCUGCCUGUAAGACUGGGAUAACACCGGGAAACCGGUGCUAAUACCGGAUAAUCCUUUUCCUCACAUGAGGGGAAGCUGAAAGACGGUUUCGGCUGUCACUUACAGAUGGGCCCGCGGCGCAUUAGCUAGUUGGUGGGGUAACGGCCCAACAAGGCGACGAUGCGUAGCCGACCUGAGAGGGUGAUCGGCAACACUGGGACUGAGACACGGCCCAGACUCCUACGGGAGGCAGCAGUAGGGAAUCUUCCGCAAUGGACGAAAGUCUGACGGAGCAACGCCGCGUGAGCGAAGAAGGCCUUCGGGUCGUAAAGCUCUGUUGUCAGGGAAGAACACGUACCGGAGUAACUGCCGGUACCUCGACGGUACCUGACCAGAAAGCCACGGCUAACUACGUGCCAGCCGCCGCCGUAAUAC
rnacentral:rRNA from 1 species